rnacentral:rRNA from 1 species
GACGAACGCUGGCGGCGUGCUUAACACAUGCAAGUCGAACGGGAUAAUUUGAGAGCUUGCUCUUAGAGAAUCUAGUGGCAAACGGGUGAGUAACACGUAGACAACCUGCCGACAGGAUGGGGACAACAUUCCGAAAGGAAUGCUAAUACCGAAUGAAGCGGAGGAGAGGCAUCUCUCCUCCGUGAAAGAUGGCCUCUGAAUAUGCUAUCACCUGUCGAUGGGUCUGCGUCUGAUUAGCUAGUUGGUGAGGUAACGGCUCACCAAGGCGACGAUCAGUAGCCGGUAUGAGAGGAUGAACGGCCACAUUGGGACUGAGACACGGCCCAGACUACUACGGGAGGCAGCAGUGGGGAAUCUUCCGCAAUGGGCGCAAGCCUGACGGAGCAACGCCGCGGGAGGGAAGAAGGUCUUCGGAUCGUAAAGCUCUGUUGACGGGGGCGAACGUGCGAAGGGUGAAUAAUCCUUUGUAAUGACGGUACCUGUCGAGGAAGCCACGGCUAACUACGUG